AUUCUACAGAGAGUUGUUCACCUGCAAGACCUUAUUCUGCACCAGAAACAUCAAAGGUGAGAGAACUGAAGAGAAGUUCAGAGGAGGAACACAGAGAGCAUGAUACAGGUGAGAGGAGGGCCCAGAGGAACUUACCUAGGCCCAAAGGAGACCGGAGAUAGCCAACUGCAUGGACCUACACAAUGGACCUUAAGCCUUUCCCUGUGAGGCCAAGCACUGCCACCUAUACCUAGCAGGAAGAAGGCAAUGUCCAAGAAGAGAAACUGCCAGUAGCCCUGAAAGCUUUCCCAAGAGUGGGAUUCCAAGUGAACUCAAGUGGAGUUUUUAAUCUUUGGAGCCAUUUCUGCUUCCAUAUCCAUUUUGAGUGACUAAUAACAUUUUAUUUGCUUUAAAAGGACUACCAAGGUCUAAUCAUAAGGUUUGUUUCUUUUCCAGAAAGCGGAUGUUAGUGCUGUUAAUCAAAAGCCUUUGAAUCAAGGUCAUAUGAUUUCCAACAGAUUAUUUCCCGCACAACAUGUUUUUGUCUCAUAGCAACAAAUCAUGCCAUUAAAAUCACUAAGGCAUGUGGGCUAAGUGUUUGAUUAGCUGUAACUUUCAUUUCUAAAAUGGCCAACUGUGGUACAAAAAAGUUAUACCAGUUUAUAUUGGCAGAUGAAAAUGAUCUGCUUCAUUGAUUUUUAAAAUUAGGACCUGGCAACAAAGUCUUCUAUGAUGUCCUUUCGUUGUUUCAAACAAAGAAAUACUUAAUAUCAGAGAUUCAACCAAACCAUGAGCUCUCCCAUUUAUGAAUGAAACAACUGGUUUUACAUGGAAAUUUGGCUAUUGUAUUGGGAAAGUUGCUUGAUUAAAAAGUAUGCUUAUUAGAUGAAUGACUAUAUUUUUAUUGCUCAAGUUUUAAUCAUUGUGUUGCACUAUCGUGAGCAAGCCCUGAUUGUUUAAAUUGAUACUGUGUCUAAUAAUGGUAACAUUUACUGGUCCCUUGUUACCUGACAGGUGAUGUUUUAAGUUCCUCAAUGAGGAUGAUAGAGUUUGAUUCUCUUUUUUUUUUGUUUGCUUGUUUUUGUUUUUGUUU